UAUGCCUCUUAGUUGUCUCUGGAGUCUGUUUGUCCUGAUUCCUUUUCUUAGAUGAGACGAAGUCCAAUCAAGGCAUUAGCAUCCUGAUUACUGAUCCUAAGAAUUUUGCUUACGUCACCCUUGUUAUAUUCCUGUACCACUUAAAGACCUCUGUGAAGUCCCCUCUAAACCUACGCUUAUCUAAGGGAUGUAAAUUCAAGAGUUCCAGUCUCGUUUCGUAAGCAAUAACCCUUAUCCCCUGCAUCCUUUCAGUCAUUCUCCUUUGUACUUAUUUUAAUAGGCCUAUAUAAAUCAAAGAGGAGGCAGUAGACACCUGCCGAAACGAUAAUUACUCCCAUUGAGGUCUUAAGCACUGGAUCAGGGGGUGCUGUGAACUUAUCAUUAAACCCAGCUGUGACCUCACUGAACAUUUCCUUUUGUGUCUCACAAGGGGGUCGUCACAGCCUGCCCUCUAAAGACAACUCUCUUCCUUCACACAAAAUUACAAGCACCUAAUUACACACACACCUUUCACUCAAAAUUCAAAAUUACUAUGGCGACUCCUCUACCAGCCUCGGAGUACCCAUCUGAGGAGUGGACCACAAAUGUCCCCAGGUCGGACUUUUCUUCCGGUAUCAACCCUAAGUGUCUUGACACCCACCUUAACUUUGUCUUCAUUAAUUCUGCAACAUUCGCGGUCUAAGAUCUAAUUUUCAAUCUGUAGAACAUCACCUCUCCUCUUCUAAAUAUCAUCUUUUCCUCACUGAAACAUAGGUGUCUGAGGCAACUGACAGUAGCCCUUUUCUGUUCCCUCCUACUUUCUCUAUCCUCAUUUUAAAUCCAAAGCUGGAUGUUGCGUUUAUGUGCUCAACGACUUAACCUGCUUUCGUGCCCACGCUCUUGAAUCUUCUGAGUUUUCCACCAUCUGUCUACGAAUACAGAGUCACUCUCAAAUUAAAUUUAUAUGUGCUGUAUACCUCUCACCUAAUUCUUCUGACUAUAAGAAAUUCUUUGACUACUUAAAUUCCAAAGUGGAGCACAUUCUGACUCUCUUCCCCUUUGUGGAGAUCUCCAUUCUUGGAGACUUCAAUAUUCACCACCAUUGGUCUUUCCAAUGGGAGAGGGCUUUCCUCUCCCUUCAUUGACCGUCCUGGUAAACUAACCUUUAACUUUGCUAUCCUCCAUGAUCUAGAUCAGUGGUUCCCAAAGUGGGCGGUACGGCCCCCCUGGGGGUGGUGGAAAGAUCUGGGGGGGCGGUGAGGAAGAAGGGGGCGGUAGGGGGGCGGCAGUCCGAAGUCGAAGUCUGAAGUUCGAACGUUUGUUUGACGAUUUGUACACAACACGUGCAGCAGGACGAGUCAGUGGACGACGCAUCAGGGUCCGGUUACCGCACGCCGCUCUGGCCCAGUCAGAUCCGACAGCAUAUGACUACAAAAGCAAAAGCUCAGGAUUGAUACAGGAGAGUGAAAGAUUGUCUGCUGCCUUGAUGCAAGAAAGUUUAGGCCACCAACUCACUCCUGCCUUGACAGCUGAUACAUGCCCACCAGUCCCUUCAAGCCUGGGGAGCUGGGAGGGACCAGCAGGUGACCAGCGCAGGAGCGCAACGGGCUGGCAGGAGUUGAAACCAUGCUGAAGGAGAGAUGGAGUGAAUGAUGAAAUCUGGUGCUAGUCUCGGCAGAAAUGGGUCUUCUGUUGUCACGGAUGGAGUGGAGGAUAAACCCUGGUGCCAAUCAACUAUCCUCAGGUGAAGUAAUUGGGCCAUCAUAGUUGAAGAGGACCUAGCUCUGUCAACCCUGUGCCUUCAAGUGCAAGUGGAAUGACAGAAGUGAAGUGGGUGGCCUUUAUCAUCUCUCAGUUGGUGAAUGUUGCAGAACCUGAGCUACAUGUCAGCCCAGCACUGCGUGGGAGGUGGUCUAGUGGUGUUGCUGUCCUGAGCCUAGGAACACACCUCAACUCCAGCAUCCAGCUGUCCUGAGGCUGGGAACACACCUCAACUCCAGCAUCCAGCAGCAUUUUGCUGCCUUUUUUCUCCAUGGAAAAAUGUGUGCAAACUUCAGAAAUUGCUUGUCAUGUUGAAAGAAUAAAAGUUUCAAUGUAA